AUUGAACGCUGGCGGCAGGCUUAACACAUGCAAGUCGAACGAGUGGCGGACGGGUGAGUAAUGCCUGGGAAUCUGCCUGAUGGAGGGGGAUAACUACUGGAAACUGUAGCUAAUACCGCGUACCAUAGGAUGAGCCCAAGUGGGAUUAGGUAGGGGGUGGGGUAAAGGCUCACCAAGGCGACGAUCCCUAGCUGGUCUGAGAGGAUGACCAGCCACACUGGGACUGAGACACGGUCCAGACUCCUACGGGAGGCAGCAGUGGGGAAUAUUGCGCAAUGGGGGCAACCCUGAUGCAGCCAUGCCGCGUGAAUGAAGAAGGCCGUCGGGUUGUAAAGUACUUUCGGUAGCGAGGCGUUAACCACAGAAGAAGCACCGGCUAACUCCGUGCCAGCAGCCGCGGUAAUUC
rnacentral:rRNA from 1 species